UUGCAUUGGCAGCACAUAUACUAAAAUUGGAAUGAUAGUGAGAAAAUUAACAUGGCUCCUGGACAAGGAUGACAUGCAUUAGUUAUCCAAGGACCAUUUGUUG